GAUGAACGCUGGCGGCGUGCCUAAUACAUGCAAGUCGAGCGAACAGAUAAGGAGCUUGCUCCUUUGACGUUAGCGGCGGACGGGUGAGUAACACGUGGGUAACCUACCUAUAAGACUGGCAUAACUCCGGGAAACCGGGGCUAAUGCCGGAUAACAUUUAGAACCGCAUGGUUCUAAAGUGAAAGAUGGUUUUGCUAUCACUUAUAGAUGGACCCGCGCCGUAUUAGCUAGUUGGUAAGGUAACGGCUUACCAAGGCAACGAUACGUAGCCGACCUGAGAGGGUGAUCGGCCACACUGGAACUGAGACACGGUCCAGACUCCUACGGGAGGCAGCAGUAGGGAAUCUUCCGCAAUGGGCGAAAGCCUGACGGAGCAACGCCGCGUGAGUGAUGAAGGUCUUCGGAUCGUAAAACUCUGUUAUUAGGGAAGAACAAAUGUGUAAGUAACUGUGCACGUCUUGACGUUACCUAAUCAGAAAGCCACGGCUAACUACGUG
rnacentral:rRNA from 1 species